GACGAACGCUGGCGGCGUGCUUAACACAUGCAAGUCGAACGAUGAAGCCGGAGCUUGCUCUGGUGAAUUAGUGGCGAACGGGUGAGUAACACGUGAGUAACCUGCCCUUGACUCUGGGAUAACUGCGGGAAACUGUAGCUAAUACCGGAUACGACCCUCGGAGGCAUCUCCGGGGGGUGGAAAGAAUUUCGGUCAAGGAUGGACUCGCGGCCUAUCCGCUAGUUGGUGAGGUAAAGGCUCACCAAGGCGACGACGGGUAGCCGGCCUGAGAGGGUGACCGGCCACACUGGGACUGAGACACGGCCCAGACUCCUACGGGAGGCAGCAGUGGGGAAUAUUGCACAAUGGGCGCAAGCCUGAUGCAGCAACGCCGCGUGAGGGAUGACGGCCUUCGGGUUGUAAACCUCUUUUAGCAGGGAAGAAGCGAAAGUGACGGUACCUGCAGAAAAAGCACCGGCUAACUACGUGCCAGCCGCCGCGGUAA
rnacentral:rRNA from 1 species